CGCGUAGGCGGUCUUUUAAGUCUUGUGUGAAAUCCCUCGGCUCAACUGAGGAACUGCACGGGAUACUGGAAGACUUGAGUUCGGGAGAGGGAAGCGGAAUUCCGGGUGUAGCGGUGAAAUGCGUAGAUAUCCGGAGGAACACCGGUGGCGAAGGCGGCUUCCUGGACCGAUUACUGACGCUGAGGCGCGAAAGCUAGGGGAGCAAACG
rnacentral:rRNA from 1 species